rnacentral:rRNA from 1 species
UACAGAGGGUGCAAACGUUGUUCGGAAUUACUGGGCGUAAAGCGUGUGUAGGCGGUCUCAUAAGUCGGAUGUGAAAGCCCCGGGCUCAACCCGGGAAGUGCACUCGAUACUGCGAGACUUGAGUAUCGGAGAGGUUGGUGGAAUUCUCGGUGUAGAGGUGAAAUUCGUAGAUAUCGAGAGGAACACCGGUGGCGAAAGCGGCCAACUGGACGAAUACUGACGCUGAGACACGAAAGCGUGGGGAGCAAACAGG